rnacentral:rRNA from 1 species
AGUGAACGCUGGCGGUAGGCCUAACACAUGCAAGUCGAACGGCAGCACAGGAGAGCUUGCUCUCUGGGUGGCGAGUGGCGGACGGGUGAGGAAUACAUCGGAAUCUACUCUGUCGUGGGGGAUAACGGAGGGAAACUUACGCUAAUACCGCAUACGACCUACGGGUGAAAGCAGGGGACCUUCGGACCUUGCGACAUUGAAUGAGCCGGUGUCGGAUUAGCUAGUUGGCGGGGUAAAGGCCCACCAAGGCGACGAUCCGUAGCUGGUCUGAGAGGAUGAUCAGCCACACUGGAACUGAGACACGGUCCAGACUCCUACGGGAGGCAGCAGUGGGGAAUAUUGGACAAUGGGCGCAAGCCUGAUCCAGCCAUACCGCGUGGGUGAAGAAGGCCUUCGGGUUGUAAAGCCCUUUUGUUGGGAAAGAAAUCCAGCUGGCUAAUACCCGGUUGGGAUGACGGUACCCAAAGAAUAAGCACCGGCUAACUUCGUGCCAGCCGCCGCCGUAA